GACGGAGGAUGCAAGUGUUAUCCGGAAUCAAUGGGCGUAAAGCGUCUGUAGGUGGUCAAAUAAGUCAACUGUUAAAUCUUGAGGCUCAACCUCAAAAUCGCAGUCGAAACUAUUAGACUAGAGUAUAGUAGGGGUAAAGGGAAUUUCCAGUGGAGCGGUGAAAUGCGUAGAUAUUGGAAAGAACACCGAUGGCGAAGGCACUUUACUGGGCUAUUACUAACACUCAGAGACGAAAGCUAGGGUAGCAAAUGGG
rnacentral:rRNA from 1 species